rnacentral:rRNA from 1 species
UCCUACGGGGGGCAGCAGUAGGGAAUUUUCGUCAAUAGGCGCAAGCCUGAACGAGCAAUGCCGCGUGAACGAGGAAGGUCUUCGGAUCGUAAAGUUCUGUUGAAGGGGAAAAAGAGCGGAGAGAGGAAAUGGUCUCCGAUUGAUAUUACCCUUCGAGGAAGUCACGGCUAACUACGUGCCAGCAGCCGCGGUAAUACGUAGGUGGCGAGCGUUAUCCGGAAUGAUUGGGCGUAAAGGGUGCGUAGGCGGCCUGCUAAGUCUGGAGUGAAAGGUACCGGCUCAACCGGUACAGGCUCUGGAAACUG